UUAGUGGCGGACGGGUGAGUAACGCGUGGAAAACCUGCCGUAUACUGGGGGAUAACACUUAGAAAUAGGUGCUAAUACCGCAUAAGCGCACAGCUUCGCAUGAAGCGGUGUGAAAAACUCUGGUGGUAUACGAUGGUUCCGCGUCUGAUUAGCUAGUUGGUGGGGUAAUGGCCUACCAAGGCAACGAUCGGUAGCCGGCCUGAGAGGGUGAACGGCCACAUUGGGACUGAGACACGGCCCAAACUCCUACGGAAGGCAGCAG
rnacentral:rRNA from 1 species